CAUGGUGGCAAGCGCCUAUAAUCCCAGCUACUCGGGAGGCUGAGGCAGGGAGAACUGCUUGAACCUGGGAGGCGGAGGUUGCAGUGAGCUGAGAUUGCCCCACUGCAUUCCAGCCUGGGUAUCAGGGAGAGACUCCGUCUCAAAAAGAAAAAAAAAAAAAAGUAGAUAAGUCUGUUGGAACCAUUUUUAAUUUAAAGGGUACUCUCGCUCCCCCAAAUGACAGCAGUACUAAUCAUAUAGCAACAUAUUUGUUUCUGAGUGCUUAGACCAAUAUGUGAAUUAAAUUAAUUCUUCCCACUCUUUUUCACUACCUUCUCUUUAUCUUCUUUCUUCCUUUCCUGGGAAUUACUGUAAGAUAGUACUUAUGGUAUAUAUUUAACUGAUGUUGAAUUUUGACUGGAAAUAGUAAGUCUAAAAUCUAAAAAUAAUUAGAGGAAUAUUCCAUACCUAUUACUAUAAAAAUCAACUAAAUCUAUCUUAUUUUUAGCCAUGUGACUCUUCAUUAUGUUUCUGCUUCCCACCCGAUGUGGACUACGGCUCACACACAGGCGUGCACACACACAGAGCUUCCCCGUUGCCGAUAUAAAACACAAUUGCUAGAUUCCUAGCCCCAUCCCCACUGAUUUGGGAGGAGGCAGGUGAAGCUCAAGAAUGUCUAACACAGGCUCCCAGGUGACGCCCAGGCUGCCAAUCCGGAGACCACUCUUUGAAUCACAUUUCUCUACGUGCUGCUAUCUCCAUUAUUAAACUCUAAACAUAUGGAUUAGAGAACACUAAUCCAUAUGUUACUUGCUGAGUUGAAAGGCAUUUUAAGAGGUUAUCUAGACUAAUCAUCACUUUGAGCUACUAUCCAAGGCUACUCCAAUGAGGUGCCAAGUAAAUGCAGUUAAAUGUAGUUUCAAGUCCCCGUCCUCAUAGAGAUAGAACUUGGUUGUUCUGGGUAUCACAUUUUGUUAAUCUUGCAUAAGAAACAAUCCCGUGACACAGUAUAUGUUAUCACGCAUAUAACAAAUGACACAUGAACUUCCAAACCACAGUAGUUAAUGCCUGGGGACAAAGGUAACUGGCUAAUUGAGCUUCUUUAACUUGACUUUCAAAUAAUUGCCACCUCUCUGUAUCCUCAACCAUUAAACCUAUUUAUUUUUCUCAUGAACUUUACUGAGGACUGAUUUAGGUACAAUAAGUUGCACCCAUUUAAAGUGUACACCAGUCUAACUUUUAAAACUACUAAAUUACUAAUGACUUAUUAAUUUAAAAUUAUUCAUCAAUAUGAGUAAAAAUAUUUUUAGAAAGCCUACACAACUGGAAAAUACUACAUGCUUUUAGAAGGAGGGAGACAUAUGAUUUUCUAUUUUUGGAAUCUAUCGGGUACACAUGAUAGAAAGGCAAGUGGGAGUAAAUGGAAAUCAGGAUGAGACUGUCCACAAGGACCUUGGAAAACCUUGGAGGUGCAUCUGGCAUCUGGUGCUCCUGAACUUGGCUUGGUGUGCUCAGAUAGCAAAGGCUGCUCUGGGAGGAUUUGGGCUGUGAGAAUGGAGCGAAGGGGAUGAGUCUUUGUCAUGCUUUCACGGCUGUCUGUCACUUCCUUUAUGUUCCCAAUGUCCCCACCCUGGUAGGCCCCGUCUGAGUUAUACCUAGAUUAUUAUUAAAAACCAUCAGCGUUUCUCCUUGACUCCUGUCUCUCCCCAUAUAAACCUAUAUUGCAUCUGUGUUUAUGCCACUUUCCAACUAACAAAACUUCAGAGACUCUCAGGGUGAAGUCAGAAUCUUCCCUCUGGCAUUUGAACCCCUCAACUGCAUAACCUGUGCCUCAUCCACCGAUGUCACCUAAUUUCAGAGGCAAAUCACCUGCGGCAGAUGAACGGCUCUGUUGACUUGCUCUUACCUUCAUGUCUUCCUGCCUGCUGGAAAAUCCCUUCAUUUUCCUUACCUUUAUUUCAUGGUCCAAAUGAAGUUCUCUAUCAACUUCAUGCACACAAUGGAGACUUGAUUCCCUCAGAAUUCCCUCUCCCCAUUUUUCUAGUUCUCACCUUCUGAACUACUCGUUUUAUACAUAAUCAUGAACUGCUUUGGAUUUGUGUUUAAUAGUUCAUGGGCAUAUGUUCUGUCUCUCAAGUGGAAUAUAAACUGCUUGAAGGUCAGGGACCAUGCUGUGGAAUACUUCUUGGAUUUUAGGAUUGUUAAGUAAUUACAGUAAUAAAAAAGAUACCUUAAUGUAUAACUAAAUGUCUUGAGACUUUCCACAUAAAUCCAUGAAUCUGAAAACAAUCUUUUGUUAGACCAUGUAUCUUGUUUUUUUUAUUUUAAAAAUAUGCUAUUUUUAUAGGCACUAAGGGAAUGCAGAGUAGUGACAAUAAUGAUGAACAUUUAUUGUGUUUUUACUGAGUGUUGUGCACUUUCCUCAGUGCUAUGCUGUGCCUUAAUCCUCCUGACAACACACAGAGACUGGUGCUAUUAUUAUCCCCAUUCUAUAGCCACGGAAACUAAGGCACAAAGGGUGAAGUCAUUGGCAAGGUCAGAAAGCCAAACUUGAGGGAGCUGGGCCUGGUGCCCACCAGCUUAACCACAGCACACACUGCAACUCAUUCAUACGAGAAACACACGAAAUGUAGGCUGUGUUGAGAAAUAAAUAGCAGAAUUGUAAUUAGGGGCCAGAGGAAAAGGGUGUGAAGACCAUGUCAAGAUUUAUGCCUGUGAGAUGGGUUGCAGAAUUGACCUGAGCAGACCAGGCUUCCGAGGGUCAAAAAAGCGUCUGAAGGAGAGACACUGAGUGCAUUCUGGGUUCACAUUCCCCUCCUCUACUGCAUUCCUGAAUUUUCUGCCUCACAGCGGCAUCUGAAGCAGUGGCUGUAUGUGUCCUUAACCACCCUUCAAGUCCACAACAUGUCAUAUUACCUCAUUUUGGCUCCCUGGGACUAUUUUGGAGGACCUGAAUUAGUCAUGUGGGGUACUUGAUUAAAAAUCACUUGAACAGCCCUUUUCUUUUGCUCAACACUGGGUCUCUCUGUUUGAGAGCAGACCUGGGUUAGAAGAGCAAUGCCUGAGGUUUCUCUCGUAAGAGAUGAAAAUAGGGAAUCAGUUAAGAAAAAAAGGCCGGGCGCGGUGGCUCACGUCUGUAAUCCCAGCGCUUUGGGAGUCUGAGGCGGGCGGAUCACAAGGUCAGGAGAUCGAGACCAUCCUGGCUAAUACGGUGAAACCCCAUCUCUAUUAAAAAUACAAAAAAAUUAGCAGG
rnacentral:lncRNA from 10 species